AGUGAACGCUGGCGGUAGGCCUAACACAUGCAAGUCGAACGGCAGCACAGGAGAGCUUGCUCUCUGGGUGGCGAGUGGCGGACGGGUGAGGAAUGCAUCGGAAUCUACUCUUUCGUGGGGGAUAACGUAGGGAAACUUACGCUAAUACCGCAUACGACCUACGGGUGAAAGCCGGGGACCUUCGGGCCUGGCGCGAAAGAAUGAGCCGAUGCCCGAUUAGCUAGUUGGCGGGGUAAGAGCCCACCAAGGCGACGAUCGGUAGCUGGUCUGAGAGGAUGAUCAGCCACACUGGAACUGAGACACGGUCCAGACUCCUACGGGAGGCAGCAGUGGGGAAUAUUGGACAAUGGGCGCAAGCCUGAUCCAGCCAUACCGCGUGGGUGAAGAAGGCCUUCGGGUUGUAAAGCCCUUUUGUUGGGAAAGAAAAGCAGUCGGUUAAUACCCGAUUGUUCUGACGGUACCCAAAGAAUAAGCACCGUAAUUC
rnacentral:rRNA from 1 species